GAUGAACGCUGGCGGCGUGCCUAAUACAUGCAAGUCGAGCGAAUGGAUUAAGAGCUUGCUCUUAUGAAGUUAGCGGCGGACGGGUGAGUAACACGUGGGUAACCUGCCCAUAAGACUGGGAUAACUCCGGGAAACCGGGGCUAAUACCGGAUAACAUUUUGAACCGCAUGGUUCGAAAUUGAAAGGCGGCUUCGGCUGUGACUUAUGGAUGGACCCGCGUCGCAUUAGCUAGUUGGUGAGGUAACGGAUCACCAAGGCAACGAUGCGUAGCCGACCUGAGAGGGUGAUCGGCCACACUGGGACUGAGACACGGCCCAGACUCCGACGGGAGGCAGCAGUAGGGAAUCUUCCGCAAUGGACGAAAGUCUGACGGAGCAACGCCGCGUGAGUGAUGAAGGCUUUCGGGUCGUAAAACUCUGUUGUUAGGGAAGAACAAGUGCUAGUUGAAUAAGCUGGCACCUUGACGGUACCUAACCAGAAAGCCACGGCUAACUACGUGCCAGCAGCCGCAGUAA
rnacentral:rRNA from 1 species